rnacentral:rRNA from 1 species
CACUAUUGGAGCGGCCGAUAUCGGAUUAGCUAGUUGGUGGGGUAACGGCUCACCAAGGCGACGAUCCGUAGCUGGUUUGAGAGGACGACCAGCCACACUGGGACUGAGACACGGCCCAGACUCCUACGGGAGGCAGCAGUGGGGAAUUUUGGACAAUGGGGGCAACCCUGAUCCAGCCAUCCCGCGUGUGCGAUGAAGGCCUUCGGGUUGUAAAGCACUUUUGGCAGGAAAGAAACGGCGCUGGUUAAUACCUGGCGCAACUGACGGUACCUGCAGAAUAAGCACCGGCUAACUACGUGCCAGCAGCCGCGGUAAUACGUAGGGUGCAAGCGUUAAUCGGAAUUACUGGGCGUAAAGCGUGCGCAGGCGGUUCGGAAAGAAAGAUGUGAAAUCCCAGGGCUUAACCUUGGAACUGCAUUUUUAACUA